AGGUGUGGGGAACCUUCCACGUUCUCCGUGCCGCAGCUAACGCAUUAAGCGCCCCGCCUGGGGAGUACGGCCGCAAGGCUAAAACUCAAAGGAAUUGACGGGGGCCCGCACAAGCGGCGGAGCAUGUGGCUUAAUUCGACGCAACGCGAAGAACCUUACCAAGGCUUGACAUAUACCGAAAACUCGUAGAGAUACGGGGUCCGCAAGGGCGGUAUACAGGUGGUGCAUGGUUGUCGU
rnacentral:rRNA from 1 species